rnacentral:rRNA from 1 species
GAUGAACGCUGGCGGCGUGCUUAACACAUGCAAGUCGAACGAAGCACUUUUGAUUGAUUUCCUCGGAAAGAUUUCACUUGUGACUGAGUGGCGGACGGGUGAGUAACGCGUGGGUAACCUGCCUCAUACAGGGGGAUAACAGUUAGAAAUGACUGCUAAUACCGCAUAAGCGCACGGCAUCGCAUGAUGCAGUGUGAAAAACUCCGGUGGUAUGAGAUGGACCCGCGUCUGAUUAGCUAGUUGGUGGGGUAACGGCCUACCAAGGCGACGAUCAGUAGCCGACCUGAGAGGGACCGGCCACAUUGGGACUGAGACACGGCCCAAACUCCUACGGGAGGCAGCAGUGGGGAAUAUUGCACAAUGGGCGAAAGCCUGAUGCAGCGACGCCGCGUGAAUGAAGAAGUAUUUCGGUAUGUAAAGUUCUAUCAGCAGGGAGGAUAAUGACGGUACCUGACUAAGAAGCACCGGCUAAAUACGUGCCAGCAGCCGCAGUAAAAC